rnacentral:rRNA from 1 species
CACGUAGGGGACGAGCGUUGUCCGGAUUCAUUGGGCGUAAAGAGCUCGUAGGCGGUGUGUCGCGUCGGCCGUGAAAACCUGGGGCUUAACUCUGGGCGUGCGGUCGAUACGGGCAUCACUAGAGUUCGGCAGGGGAGACUGGAAUUCCUGGUGUAGCGGUGAAAUGCGCAGAUAUCGGGAGGAACACCUAUGGCGAAGGCAGCUUGCUGGGACGGUACUGACGCUGAGACGCGAAAGCGUGGGGAGCAAACAGG